CAGUCGCCACGGUAAUACAGAGGGUGCAAGCGUUAAUCGGAAUUACUGGGCGUAAAGCGCGCGUAGGUGGUUUGUUAAGUUGGAUGUGAAAUCCCCGGGCUCAACCUGGGAACUGCAUCCAAAACUGGCAAGCUAGAGUAUGGUAGAGGGUGGUGGAAUUUCCUGUGUAGCGGUGAAAUGCGUAGAUAUAAGAAGGAACACCAGUGGCGAAGGCGACCACCUGGACUGAUACUGACACUGAGGUGCGAAAGCGUGGGGAGCAAACAGGAUUAGAUACCCCUGUAGUCCCUGUCUCUUAUAC
rnacentral:rRNA from 1 species